UGGGGAAUUUUCCGCAAUGGGCGAAAGCCUGACGGAGCAAUACCGCGUGAGGGAGGAAGGCUCUUGGGUUGUAAACCUCUUUUCUCAGGGAAGAAAAAAAUGACGGUACCUGAGGAAUAAGCAUCGGCUAACUCCGUGCCAGCAGCCGCGGUAAUACGGAGGAUGCAAGCGUUAUCCGGAAUGAUUGGGCGUAAAGGGUCCGCAGGUGGCAUUGUAAGUCUGCUGUUAAAGAGUCUAGCUCAACUAGAUAAAAGCAGUGGAAACUACAAAGCUAGAGUACGUUCGGGGCAGAGGGAAUUCCUGGUGUAGCGGUGAAAUGCGUAGAUAUCAGGAAGAACACCGGUGGCGAAAGCGCUCUGCUAGGCCGUAACUGACACUGAGGGACGAAAGCUAGGGGAGCGAAUG
rnacentral:rRNA from 1 species